CACACGCCCGCUGUCCACGCGCUGCGGCCUUGGAGUAACUGCUGUUCUUAAAGGCUGCCUCCGUCCUGCCGCGCGGCCUUUAGAGGGUUGGAGCUGGCAGAACCGUAACUCCCUCUCUGAGGGUGAAUACGGGCCUUGAUUGCCAGAAGGGCCCUCGGCCGGGGACGCGGGAUGAUGCGGGGCCGGGAGAUGCUUUCCUGGAGGCUGAGAAACCUGGAGGGAGACCCCCAAAACUUCUCAGUUCGCCGACCCCUUGGUCCCAGAGGGAGAGGAGCAUCCCCAAAGAACAUUCAAGUCUGAGCCUCAAGGAGCCUCUGCGACUCGGUGUCUAGAUCCAGGAAAUGGAGAAUGAGCCGUGACUUUGGAUGCUUCACUCUUGUCCAUCAGGCUCGGAAUUGGUGAGCAUCUCCCACAUUACCGUCUCCAACGGAACAAGGUGCCCCAUUGGACAUUUCCUCUGCAUGGACCAGCCAUUCUCCAAAUCUGCCCCCAUGUCACCCCAGCUCCCCAUCGCAGUCACUUCUCACUCCUUGUCCCCUGUCCCCCUGAGUGACAGGACUUUUGCCAGUUAGGUCCUGUCCCUGUUUCUGAUCUUGGGUCCAUUCCCCAUGGUCCCUUUCUUGCUUGUGCCUUGGGAUCUCAGGCCUGUUGAAGUAGGAGGCAGGACUCAACUUCAGACCAGAUUGAAGACUGGCUGACACAGAAGAGGCACCAAAAGCACCUCUCUCUCCAUAAGACAUGCCCACCAGUGCCAUGACAGUUUACCAUUGCUAUGGCAAUGCCCAGAAGUUCUCACCCCUUUUCCAGACAUUUCUGCAUAAUCUACCCCUCAAUUGGCAUGUGAUCAAAAGUGGGUGUCAAAAUGACUGUGGAACUGUCCCUGAGCUGCUACUCUUGACAUGCUGGUUACAGGGUAGCCCGGCUCUGCAGGGACAGUCACGGAGCUGAAAAACUGCUGCCUAAUGAAGCUGUUUUCUUCUACCACCGGCUCACCCUCAAAUUAUUUCCUGAGCGAACUCAAGAACCUUCCUGGGCUAAGCCCCAAUUUUGGGGCUCGCCUGCCCCUGCAUCACAGCUUCCUCUUCUGUUCACAGCUGCAACCGCCUACUCAACCUUCUGCGGUUCCUCUCCCUGCCCCUCCACAGUGGCUGCUGAUGGGAGCUCUGGCUCCCUGCGUUUUCACUAUCUCCCAGUCAAAUGCAGAGUCCCUGUGCAAUUUAAAUGCUUCUCAGCUAAGAACAGAGAAGGGGAUAGCAUAAGGAUAUUCAAAAGAUUCAAGAAAUCUCAAAAGUGAUCACAAAACAUUUGUCUCUGACCAACCAGAAACAUCGACGGGUGAGAAGGGCAUUUCCUCUAGCUGAAUUCUUCAUGGGUCUUCAGGCUCUGUUUUCACUUUGGAUUUUCUGGAGUCUCCUGAAGGUUACCUGAAAUCUUGUUGGUCCUGAAUAUUGUAUGUGGAGUCCCAAGCUGCAAGAAGUCAGUGGGGCUGGACGGGAGCCAAAAUCAGAGACUCAAGCAGCACAGCUGGGCCCCAUUGAAAGUGAGACCAGCUGUCCCAGUUGGAAGCUGGGGUAUAGAGCUGGGGAUGGGUGGAGGCAGUGACAGGCUCCAUGUAUUGGUCAUUCAGACUCCCCAGUAGCCUCAGGACCCAACUCCCACAGGUCAGAGAAGACCUGGUGGAGGGCCUUAUGCAAACCUCAGUGGGUGAUGCAGGAGGGAGUUUUCUGAGCAGGAAUGCCAACAAAAAAGGCCUUCAAAGGAAGGCCCUGCUUGGGACAAUCCUGCCUCUUUAUGGUCUGGUUCACAGGUUCCCCUGGGUGGGGUAAUGGAAUCCAAGCUAAGGUGUCUGACUUCAAAAGUUUUCAGAAAUGCCACUUUUGUAAGCAUCAGGGAUUGGGUUUUCUGAGAUGCAAAACAUCUUUGUUAAGGGGUUAAAGCAUCCUUAAGCUGUUUAGGUUUCUGGGGAUACAUAGACUUAGGAAGUUAGAGCAGGUGAAGUUGAGGGGGAUGGGAACUAAGAAUUAGCUCAAAAUAGUCACCAAUGCAGAAACCCAGGCACUUGGGACCCUGACAGUGGGGAAGGCAGAGGAGUAACUGUGGGGACUUGGGCACCCUAUUAGCAGAAUGGGGUAACAGAGAAGGCAAGAAUUGCUUCCCAGGAGACUGGGCUGGGAACAGGAAGGGGACUAAAAUGCUGUCCCUGGCUGAAGAGUGUGGAGGUAUAGAGGAGCUGGUAGCAGGGCUCUGAAUCCAUACACGAGAGCAAGGACCAGUGGUUUCAGGGUGGGAUAGGGCUUUGAUGUCUUCAUGGACUUAGGGUAAUAUUCACCACCAUGGUGAAUUCCACAAAGGAGAAUUCACACAAAGGUCUCGGACCAGCCAGUUUCCAUGUGAAAAAGCCAUCUGGGAGCAAGGGAACAAACCCAGGAAUACAACUGUAUUGGGGGAAAUUCAGCCAGACAUAGGGCAAAAUUCACCCCCAAUAUUUCAUGUAGGUUCUUUUCUAUUUUCCGUAAGUGUCGGCCGGUCUGAGAAAUAAAGGGACAGAGCUCAAAAGAGAGAAAUUUUAAAGCUGGGUGUCUGGGGGAGACAUCACAUGUCGGCAGGUUCCGUGAUGCCCCCCGAGCCGUAAAACCAGCAAGUUUUUAUUCGUGAUUUUCAAAAGGGGAGGGGGAGUGUAUGAAUAGGGUGUGGGUCACAGAGAUCACAUGCUUCACAAGAUAAUAAGAUAUCACAAGGCAAAUGGAGGCAGGGCGAGAUCACAGGACCACAGGACCGGGGCAAAAUUAAAAUUGCUAAUGAAGUUUCGGGCAUGCAUUUUCAUUGAUAACAUCUUAUCAGGAGACAGGGUCUGAGAGCAGACAACCGGUCUGACCAAAAUUUAUUAGGCGGGAAUUUCCUCGUCCUAAUAAGCCUGGGAGCGCUAUGGGAGACUGGGGCUUAUUUCAUCCCUACAGCUUUGACCAUAAAAGACGGCCGCCCCCCGAAGCGGCCAUUUCGGAGGCCUACCCUCAGGGACACAUUCUCUUUCUCAGGGAUGUUCCUUGCUGAGAAAAAAAAUUUAGCGAUAUUUCUCCCAUUUGUUUUUGAAAGAAGAAAAAUAUGGCUCUGUUCUGCCUGGCUCACCGGCAGUCAGAGUUUAAGGUUAUCUCUCUUGCUCCCUGAACAUUGCUGUUAUCCUGUUCUUUUUUCAAGGUGCCCAGAUUUCAUAUUGUUCAAACACACAUGCUCUACAAACAAUUUGUGCAGUUAACGCAAUCAUCACAGGGUCCUGAGGCGACAUACAUCCUCCUCAUUUUACAAAGAUGAUGGGAUUAAGAGAUUAAAGACAGGCAUAGGAAAUCACAAGGGUAUUGAUUGGGGAAGUGAUAAGUGUCCAUGAAAUCUUCACAAUUUAUGUUCAGAGAUUGCAGUAAAGACAGGCGUAAGAAAUUAUAAAAGUAUUAAUUUGGGGAACUAAUAAAUGUCCAUGAAAUCUUCACAAUCCACAAUUAUUCUGCCAUGGCUUCAGCCGGUCCCUCCAUUUGGGGUUCCUGACUUCCCGCAACACAAGUGGAGAGAGAGGUGGCCUGACAUUAUGGCUAAGUUGAUAUGGAAGCAUUCUGGUUUGUUCUAGAAAAAAUGAAAGAGGUGGUGCAGGUAAUCAUCAGCUCCUGGUUCUGUAGCAAGGCUUUUGCUGCAAUCCCAGGAGGUAGCAACCUAGGCUUUGGUUCUGAAAGAAGAGGGUCUACCUUCCUGAAUCAUUUUUAGGAGUCUGCUGAUGGCCAGGCUUGGUGAGUUGGACUCUGUAAGGAAUUUUUAUUUAAGUGAGGUCUGGGUAGGAAAAGAGAAGGGAAAAACUUGACCCUGCCUGCACCAAAGGAUUCUGGGAAGGAGAAUAAAGAGAAAAACCCUUCUUCAUGUUUCUGCUUCAGAGCAGGAGAACCAUCACAAGCUAAGUAAAGUCAAUGAAGGGCGAGUGGCCCUAUGGCCACCUGGGCACACACCUGCCCCUUGGCCACCUUGCAUAGGCAGGCUGAGGAGGUCACUAAGGCUUGGUUUUCCUGACCUGCCCUGAUUCCACAUGCUGUAAGGAGGACCCAGAAGGCUGUGUGGCUACAGAGGUGCCCAGCAUGGUGGGGGUCACUUCAGUGUGGACACUAGACUGGACCGCGUGGAACUACAACCAGCUCAGAGCGCCAGCCAGAGUGCUGUUCUGGCCAGAAGGAGGAGCCAAGACCCACACCCAGGAGGACAAUGAGCCCCUCUCUGCAGACAGGAGCCAGCCACACCUGGGGUCUGGGGAGACUCUUCCUGAUUCCAAAUGGGACUGAACUUUAAACCAGACUGGGCAUUUGAGCAAUUUUUUAAAAGCUGUCAACCAAAUAAAGGAAUGCCA
rnacentral:lncRNA from 10 species